rnacentral:rRNA from 1 species
UGGGAAUGCUAUAUCAUCUUGGCAUGGGAUCCCCUGAACUCUUACCAGUCAAGCAGGGUUGGGCUAGGUCAGUACUUGUAGAGGAGACUGCUAAGGAACACCUGAAUAUUGAUGG